rnacentral:rRNA from 1 species
CUAGUUGAGCGCUUCCAGCCAAAACGGGAGCGCAGCGCACAGCUCAGUAACACGUGGCUAAUCUGCCCUUGGGACCGGAACACCCCCGGGAAACUGGGGCUAAUUCUCGAUAGGUGAAGAACUCUGGAAUGAGUCUUUGCCAAAAAGACGUUUACGUUAUGCUCGUAGGCGUCGCCCAAGGAUGAGGCCGCGACCGAUCAGGUUGUUGGUGAGGUAAUGGCUCACCAAGCCUUUUACCGGUGCGGGCCGUGAGAGCGGAGCCCGGAGAUGGGCACUGAGACAAGGGCCCAGGCCCUACGGGGCGCAGCAGUCGCGAAAACUUUGCAAUACACGAAAGUGUGACAGGGCUAUCCCGAGUGCCAUCCGCUGAGGAAGGCUUUUACCCAGUCUAGAACGCUGGGGGAAUAAGGAGAGGGCAAGUCUGGUGUCAGCCGCCGCGGUAAUACCAGCUCUCCGAGUGGUGUGGAUGUUUAUUGGGCCUAAAGCAUCCGUAGCUGGCUGAGUUAGUCCCUUGUUAAAUCCACCGAAUUAAUCGUUGGAUUGCGGGGGAUACUGCUCGGCUAGGGGACGAGAGAGGCAGACGGUAUUUCUGGGGUAGGGGUGAAAUCCUAUAAUCCCAGGAGGACCACCAGUGGCGAAGGCUGUCUGCUAGAACGCGCCCGACGGUGAGGGAUGAAAGCUGGGGGAGCGAACCGGAUUAGAUACCCGGGUAGUCCCAGCUGUAAACGAUGCAGACUAGGU